rnacentral:tRNA from 1 species
GGCCCCGUGGUGUAGCGGUUAACAUGUCGCCCUGUCACGGCGUAGAUCGUCAGUUCAACUCUGAUCGGGGUCGCCA